rnacentral:rRNA from 1 species
UGCAUGUCUAAGUAUAAGCAAUUAUACAGCGAAACUGCGAAUGGCUCAUUAUAUAAGUUAUCGUUUAUUUGAUAGUACCUUACUACUUGGAUAACCGUGGUAAUUCUAGAGCUAAUACAUGCUAAAAAUCCCGACUUCGGAAGGGAUGUAUUUAUUAGAUUAAAAACCAAUGCCCUCUGGGCUCCUUGGUGAUUCAUAAUAACUUUUCGAAUCGCAUGGCCUUGCGCCGGCGAUGGUUCAUUCAAAUUUCUUCCCUAUCAACUUUCGAUGUUUGGGUAUUGGCCAAACAUGGUCGCAACGGGUAACGGAGGGUUAGGGCUCGACCCCGGAGAAGGAGCCUGAGAAACGGCUACUACAUCCAAGGAAGGCAGCAGGCGCGCAAAUUACCCAAUCCCGAUUCGGGGAGGUAGUGACAAUAAAUACUGAUACAGGGCUCUUUUGGGUCUUGUAAUUGGAAUGAGUACAAUUUAAAUCCCUUAACGAGGAACAAUUGGAGGGCAAGUCUGGUGCCAGCAGCCGCGGUAAUUCCAGCUCCAAUAGCGUAUAUUAAAGUUGUUGUGGUUAAAAAGCUCGUAGUUGAACCUUGGGCCUGGCUGGCCGGUCCGCCUCACCGCGUGUACUGGUCCGGCCGGGCCUUUCCCUCUGUGGAACCUCAUGCCCUUCACUGGGUGUGGCGGGGAAACAGGACUUUUACUUUGAAAAAAUUAGAGUGCUCCAGGCAGGCCUAUGCUCGAAUACAUUAGCAUGGAAUAAUAAAAUAGGACGUGUGGUUCUAUUUUGUUGGUUUCUAGGACCGCCGUAAUGAUUAAUAGGGACAGUCGGGGGCAUCAGUAUUCAAUUGUCAGAGGUGAAAUUCUUGGAUUUAUUGAAGACUAACUACUGCGAAAGCAUUUGCCAAGGAUGUUUUCAUUAAUCAGGAACGAAAGUUAGGGGAUCGAAGACGAUCAGAUACCGUCGUAGUCUUAACCAUAAACUAUGCCGACUAGGGAUCGGACGAUGUUAUUUUUUGACGCGUUCGGCACCUUACGAGAAAUCAAAGUGCUUGGGCUCCAGGGGGAGUANNNNCGCAA